rnacentral:rRNA from 1 species
GAACGCUGGCGGCGUACUUAACACAUGCAAGUCGAACGAGGAUCUUCGGUGUAGCAAUACAUUGUUGCUCCUAGUGGCGCACGGGUGAGUAACACGUGGGUGACCUGCCCUUGAGCUCGGGAUACCCCCUCGAAAGGGGGGCUAAUACCGGAUACGUUCCUCGGUCGAAAGACCGAGGAGGAAAGGUGGCGCAAGCUGCCGCUCUUGGAGGGGCUCGCGGCCUAUCAGCUAGUUGGCGGGGUAACGGCCCACCAAGGCUAUGACGGGUAGCUGGUCUGAGAGGACGACCAGCCACACGGGGACUGAGACACGGCCCCGACUCCUACGGGAGGCAGCAGUGGGGAAUUUUCCGCAAUGGGCGAAAGCCUGACGGAGUGACGCCGCGUGUGGGACGAAGGCCUUCGGGUCGUAAACCACUGUCAGUGGGAAAGAUGGGUGCCGGUGUUAAUACCAUCGGCAUCUGACGGUACCUGCAGAGGAAGCCCCGGCCAACUCUGUGCCAGCAGCCGCGGUAAGACAGAGGGGGCAAGCGUUGCUCGGAAUUACUAGGCGUAAAGGGCGCAUAGGCGGGAUGGUAAGUCGGUCGUGAAAUCCCUCGGCUCAACCGAGGAACGUCGAUCGAUACUACCGUUCUUGAGGAUUGCGGAGGAGACUGGAAUUCCCGGUGUAGCGGUGAAAUGUGUAGAGAUCGGGAGGAACACCGGUGGCGAAGGUGGGUCUCUGGGCAAUUCCUGACGCUGAGGCGCGAAAGCGUGGGGAGC